CCUACGGGAGGCAGCAGUGGGGAAUCUUGCGCAAUGGGCGAAAGCCUGACGCAGCCAUGCCGCGUGAAUGAUGAAGGUCUUAGGAUUGUAAAAUUCUUUCAGUAGGGACGAUAAUGACGGUACCUACAGAAGAAGCCCCGGCUAACUUCGUGCCAGCAGCCGCGGUAAUACGAAGGGGGCUAGCGUUGCUCGGAAUUACUGGGCGUAAAGGGAGCGUAGGCGGGUUAUCAAGUUGGAGGUGAAAGCCCAGGGCUCAACCUUGGAAUUGCCUUCAAAACUGAUAGCCUAGAGUAUGAUAGAGGUAUGUGGAACUCCGAGUGUAGAGGUGAAAUUCGUAGAUAUUCGGAAGAACACCAGUGGCGAAGGCGACAUACUGGGUCAUGACUGACGCUGAGGCUCGAAAGCGUGGGGAGCAAACAGGAUUAGAUACCCUGGUAGUCCACGCUGUAAACGAUGAUUGCUAGUUGUCGGACGGCAUGCCGUUCGGUGACGCAGCUACGCAUAGACACUCCGCCGUCGGGAGGUACGGUCGCGAGAUAACUACAAGAGUAGUAGACGNGAGAGAGCGACGACGACGACGACGGAGGAGAG
rnacentral:rRNA from 1 species